GACGAACGCUGGCGGCGUGCUUAACACAUGCAAGUAGAACGGAAAGGCCCUGCUUUUGUGGGGUGCUCGAGUGGCGAACGGGUGAGUAACACGUGAGUAACCUGCCCUUGACUUUGGGAUAACUUCAGGAAACUGGGGCUAAUACCGGAUAGGAGCUCCUGCUGCAUGGUGGGGGUUGGAAAGUUUCGGCGGUUGGGGAUGGACUCGCGGCUUAUCAGCUUGUCGGUGGGGUAGUGGCUUACCAAGGCAUUGGCGGGUAGCCGGCCUGGGAGGGUGACCGGCCACAGUGGGACUGAGAUACGGGCCAGACUCCUACGGGAGGCAGCAGUGGGGAAUAUUGCACAAUGGGCGGAAGCCUGAUGCAGCAACGCCGCGUGCGGGAUGACGGCCUUCGGGUUGUAAACCGCUUUCGCCUGGGACGAAGCGUGAGUGACGGUAAUGGGUAAAGAAGCACCGGCUAACUACGUG
rnacentral:rRNA from 1 species